GGCUCUGAGUUCUUUGGGAUAGGUUUCCCAAAACCACUGUACAUCUAUAGUGGACCGAUGUUUUGGCGCGAGACUUCGAGACAUUCACUGCAAGGCUAUUCUUUAUAAGUUUUGAUUUAUUUUAUUUUAUUUUAUUUUAUUAUUUUUUUUUUCUCGCCCUAUUUUCUUUUUCUCUCACACCGAUUUAAUAUUUUACCACUACACCUUCAACUUAACACAACCUCCUCCUCUUUCCAAAAGGCACCGAUAGCUGAUGUUGGGUAUUUUGCUCAUCAACAGACGCAAAGGUGAGUGGCAGCAGGCGACGAUACCGGCGACGUGGCUGGAAGGGCGUGGUGUACGGGCGGAGGACCAGUUCUUCCGAUUUUAUAGCGGAAGAGCUCAAGCCGAUUUUGGGCAUCUUCUUCUACCGAUCGACAUUUUCAGCCAUUGAUUCCGUUGAGAGGGAGUGUGGUUAGAGACGAUGCGCCGCCCCGCAACCGAUUUUCGGUGAAGUAAUUUCUUGAUUUUUGUAUUAAAAUCUAUUUCCAAAGUCACCUAGUUAAAUAGUUGUAAGGGCAGUAAUCUCUUACGUCGGUAGAUUAUCUGCUUUCCUAACGUACCAAUUUGAUUUAAUAUUAGAUAAUUCGUGUUGACUUAGAUGUGUCUGUUAGGCGGUUAAUGAAGAUAACUUUAAUA